UACACCAAUUAGAGGAGGAAAAGAGGGAUCCGUUCCAUUUCAUUUCCAUACUCAGAACAUUUUCUUUCCUUAUCAUAUUGCAAAGCAAGAAAAAGAACUAAGGAGAGCUAGCUGAGAAGAGAGGGAGCUCGGAUGGCUACCAUGGGAGGAGAGAAAACCAACUAGCAAAACUAAACUCCAUCAACAUCAUCCUCCAUCUUCAUCUGCUCCACCAAAAGCUUCAUAUAUUCUAGAGAGAAAAAGAAAUGAGUGGAGAGUUUAAGCCUUGAUAAGGCUACGGGAGGAUUCAUGGAAGAAGAUAUGAUGAUUCUAGCAAGAUCUAGCAAAGCAUCUAGCAUCUUAGAGGAAGAAAUCUAAGAAGUAAGUUCUUUAAAACCCUAACUCUUAUUUAUAUCCCUAAGUUUCAUAUCUUGUUAGAUCUUAUUGAUAUUUUGAGUUAUGGGUUGAGGAACAUCAUAAGGAUGAUGUUCAAAAGUUAUAUGAACCAUUAAAAGCAUCCAAGUGGAAUCAAACAAGCAAAAAUUCGAUCCUAUGCAUAAAGGAUGAACAUAUGGUUAAAAGAACAUGAAUGGACUGUUAUGGACCGAGUUUGAGGACAUUUUGUGGUUGUAUUUUACGUUUAAAAAUUUAAUACGAAAGUGGUAUAUUAUACUUCUUUGUGUUAUAAAGAUAACCCAGUUGGAAUGAACCAAAACGGAGUUAAAAUAAAUCCGUGGUAUGAUUUUAGUAAAACAUGUAAAACGAACAAGUUAAAACUAUUUUUGGGGGCUGUUCUUGAGCCAAUGUUUAUGAUGGUCUAGAAUGGAGAAUUAAGUUUUGUUAUGGUGGGUUGUGCUCUUUAGAGUUACGGAUAUAACCCAAUUGGAAUGAAGCAAAAAGAAGCUAAAACGAAUUUAUAGUGAAUGUUUUAGUAAAACAUGUAAAAACUGAAAAUUUGUAGACUGCUGACCCUAAGGAAAAAUUUAGCUAGAAUUUCUAGAAAAUUCUGGAUUUCUAGGGUAGUAUAGUAAACUGAAUAAGGAAGCCAUAGCCUUUGGAACGGACCCAUUCCGAGUUCGGACGAGCGAGUUAUGGCGUUCUACAGUAAACACAUCAAAACUGUCCAAUUUGGAAAAUCAGAUCCAGACUUGUCUCUUGUAUGAAUUUUCUGUACUUGUGUGUUCCAAAUUUGAAAAUGGUUAAAGCAUAAAAGUUGUAUCCCCGGAAGUUAGCUAUGCGUGGGCGCAAAAAUCGUUCAAAAAUAUUUUGAAAUGAAUUAGUUAAUGAUUGUUUUAGCGAGAGAGGGUAAAACUGGAAAAAAAUUGAAUAACUUAACUGUCCAAAUAUUUGUGUGGCUAUUUUAGGGUAGUUGGCAUGUACCAAAAAUUAGGGCCUUUUGUGUGCUGAAAGUACACAUUAUCAGGAAGUUCCAGUCCAAAAAUGGGCUCAAUCCGACUUUUGAGGCGAGAGUUAUGACCAACUGAAAAUUUAAGAAUUAAAACUUGAAACUGAUAAAUAUGAACCUACACAACCCAGAAAAUUAUGAAAUAUUAACGGGAAGUGCGUGAUGAUACGAAGAAGGUUCCAUGUAAAUUUUAGGAUGUUUGGGUAAAGACUAAAUUUAUUAAAAAUGCUGCAAUUUUGAGCAUUAAUGGCCUUUUAAGAAAAUAGUAAAUAAAGCUGAAAAAUUAAGGGAAAAAUAUUUUGCGUGUAAAAUAUUUUUACCUAAGUAUGGCCAAAAAGGAUAAAAAUAAUAAGGUAUCUAAGUGUCAUUGAUAAAUAUGUUGUGGUCAAAAAAGUAAGAAAGAAAUAAUUAAAUAUUGAUUGAUAAGUUAUAUAAUGUAAUUUUUUGACUUAUUUGUAAUAGAAAUGGAUGAACAAAGACUAAGGACGGGUAAUAUGAUUAUCCCUAUAUUAAUAUUAUAAUUUGAUAAUAAAUAUCGGGUAUGCAAUGAAGAAUGAUGUACGAGGAAUGUUAAGCGAUGAAAGAGGUUGCGCAAUGGACGUUCGAUGAGCAUUUUGAGAUAAGCAAAAUCAAAGGCAAGUUUUUCAGUACUUGUUGCUUUGUGUUAUGUGAAAAUCUUGUGAGGUUAUUAUGUGCAUUAAGUGUUGCAAAUGCGAUGUAAACUGUUAAUAUUCAGUUGAUGAUCGAUAUUAAUUGUUCUAUGUGAACCUUAUAACAUGAGAAAUGUAAUAUUUGUAUAGAAUACAAAGUAUGAAUCAGUAUGAUAAAGAUGGAGUAUGUAUGAAACACGGUGUAUGAAUAAAGACAAAGUAUGUAUAAAUGUGUUGUAUGAUGAAAAAUGAAGCAUGUAUAAAUGCACUGUGAGACCCCGAAUUUUAUGAAUAAAGAUUUAAAUUUUUCGAAAUAUUUUUUUUCAAAAUUAUGGUGUGAAUUUGAUAUAAUGUUAUAGUUGUGGAUAAUAUUUAUAAAUUUUACAAAGUAUGCAAGUUGUUAUAUAAUAUUCAAUUGGUCAGGGAAUAUUCGUACGACGGCAAAAUCAUUGGUGGACCCCACAACGGAAUUAUUGUCGGAUUGAAAAACGACAAAAAUAUUUUUAUGAAAAUAACGGCGAAAGUUUUACCGUUAAAACUGUUGAACUAUUCGGUAGUAAAAGUAUAGUAAUACGCGUGGUUACAUAGUAGCACACGGUAUUAAUUAUUGAUGCUUACGUGAGAAGUCACUCAGUUUUGUUCAAUUAUUGCUACAGUAAUUGUUGCAUAGUAUCUCACGUUAUUUGAUUCAAUUAUUGUCGAUAUUUUAUAUAUUAUUAAAUCAAUAAUUGAGAUGACAGAGUUAUUAAUAUUAUUAUUUGCAAUAUUAACGAUGUCUAGAAGUUCUGCCAAGGAGAGGUUUGGUCACCUAAUAUCACGUCAAUAGGGAGAAAUCCUUAUUGAAAAGCCCCCUCUUUUCUGGGAACGACCUGGUCGAUUAAUAUUGUGAAUUAUAAUAAUGAUGAUAAAUGUUGUUAAUUAUAUUGAGGUGUCUUUUUAUGAAGUCACGAAAGUUUAUAUAUAUAUAUAAAUUUUGUUUUAUUUGUAUUAUUAAUGUAAUAAAACAGAAAACUUUUUAUAUAAAAUAAAAUACUUUUAUAAAGUUAUUUGUUUUAUUAGACUAUAAAUAGAAUAUAUUAUAUUCUAUUAUGCAUAGUGUUUUGCAUAGUAAAAUNNNNNNNNNNNNNNNNNNNNNNNNNNNNNNNNNNNNNNNNNNNNNNNNNNNNNNNNNNNNNNNNNNNNNNNNNNNNNNNNNNNNNNNNNNNNNNNNNNNNNNNNNNNNNNNNNNNNNNNNNNNNNNNNNNNNNNNNNNNNNNNNNNNNNNNNNNNNNNNNNNNNNNNNNNNNNNNNNNNNNNNNNNNNNNNNNNNNNNNNNNNNNNNNNCUUCUGUUAUUCCAUUCUUUAUUAUUAUGUUGGAAUAACCUGUCUAUGCGAAGUACCGCAUACAUGGUGAAAUUCUUCUGUUAUUUCAUUCUUUAUUAUUAUGUUGGAAUAACCUGUAUAUGCGAAGUACCGCAUACAUGGUGAAAUUCUUCUGUUAUUCCAUUCUUUAUUAUUCUGUUGGAAUAUCCUGUUUGUGCGUAUUACGCAUGACCUGGUUCUAUUAUUUAUUAUUCUGUUGGAAUAACCUGUCUAUGCGGUCUAUCGCAUGCCUGGUGAAGUCUUUUGUUAUUUCAUUCUUUAUUAUUUUGUUGGAAUAUCCUGUCUGUGCGUUUACGCAUGACCUGGUUCCAUUAUUUAUUAUUCUGUUGGAAUAACCUGUCUGUGCAGUCUAUCGCAUGCAUGGUGAAGGCUUUUGUUAUUUCAUUCUUUAUUAUUAUGUUAGAAUAUCCUGUCUGUGCGUUUACGCAUGACCUGGUUCCAUUAUUUAUUAUUCUGUUGGAAUAACAUGUCUUUGCGGUCUAUCGCAUGCAUGGUGAAUUCUUCUGUUAUUCCAUUCUUUAUUAUUCUGUUGGAAAAACCUGUCUAUGUGGAUUAUCACAUGCAUGGUGAAUGACCCUUCGUAUUCAUUUCUUAUUAAAUUAUGGAAAUGAUCUGUCUACGUGGAUUACCGCAUGGCGGGCGAAAAUCCAUUUGUAGUUUCAUAUAUUCUGUUAUACUCAGUUGGUUAAAGUUUUGACUUCUAUACUCAAUGAAAUUAGUGGAAUAUCUUUGAUAUUUGCGCUUCAUCCAAUAUCUUUUCAUGAAAAUAUUCUUUUGAGCAUUCUUGAAUUUUACUCUACAAAGCAGUAUCAUGUUAACAAUUUGAACGUUAUUGAAUUCUGGAUAAAUUAAUUCUUGAACUUGUUUUAUUGGAUUCUUAUAUCAUUGGGGAUAAGGUUCAAAAAUUUCCUUGACUUUUACCGCGAUGUCUACCGAGCACCUUAUACUUUUUUUUUGUCCAAAAGUACACUUAACGUUAUAAUUUUUGGGUCGAUCGUGCCCCUGCCGUUAACAAAUCUGCCAACUAGACUAACGGAUGUUAAUGUGGCUGACACAUGACAAUAUUUACUGACGUGUACAAAAAUUCAUUAACACAAAUAAUUAAAAAAAUCUAAUUAAUAAACAAAAUUAAUUUUUAAAAUCUAAUUAAAAAAAUUAAUUUUUUAAAUCUAAUUAACACAAUAUUAAUUUUUUAUUUUAUUUUUCUUUAAAACAAAAUAAAUAAUUAAUAAACAAAAUAAAUAUUUAUAUUUAAUAAACAAAAUAAAUAUUUGUAUUUAUAUUUAAUUCAUUAACAACAAAUUAAUUCAUUAAUUCACUAGACUCUCCUGAGCAAAUUAAUUAAGCUCAUCUGGAAGAAGAAGAAGCAGCAAGCUACCCUCAUGGCGCUUUCAUCAUUCGUGUCCACCACGAUUCCAAGCCCUCCAUUUUCCCCACCCACAUUCACCGGUACCAAUCCUCCCUCCAAUCUCUUUCCCCCACCCCUACCCCUACUACUCAACUCAUCAUCAUCCACACUUACGACACCGUUUUUCACGGUUUCUCANNNNNNNNNNNNNNNNNNNNNNNNNNNNNNNNNNNNNNNNNNNNNNNNNNNNNNNNNNNNNNNNNNNNNNNNNNNNNNNNNNNNNNNNNNNNNNNNNNNNUCUUUCCCCCACCCCUACCCCUACUACUCAACUCAUCAUCCAACAAAGCUCUCGCCUUUACAGGCUUAGAAGCUCUGUUCCCUCUCUGGCAUCCUUGCCGUUAUCCCCGAGCAGGUUCGCCAGCUUCAUACCACUCGAUCCCUUCAAUUUCUGGGCCUAAAGACCACGGUUAGUACUGCUUUGCUCAGAGAGUCCGACUUCGAUUUGGAUCUAGUCAUUGGGGUCAUCGAUACCGGCAUCUGGCCCGAGAGGCAGAGCUUCAACGAUCACGACCGACCUGGGACCCGUGUCGCUGUCACAAUAAACGCCGACGAAGUUACAGGGGUCGGCCGUGAAAUCCCAAGAGGCAAAAUAAUUAGAGCUGGGCAUAUCAUCUAAAGAUUUUCGAAUAGUUUGAAGAGAGAGAAAAUCAGUUGGGUCCAACAUUGGAAACACUAAUACACUUUGGUGAAGAAAAAUUAAUAGAGCACAUAGAAAAAAUCCCAUCUUUUUCAGUCCUAUUUACAAUGGAAGCUAAAUAGAGCAACAGAGCUAUAUAUAGAGAGAAAAUGGUGAAGCUUUUUCGCGAGGGGGUAAUUGGGGGAAGUGUAAAUGGAAAUGGAAAACUGCGAAAGCUUUAAUGGAAAUGCAAGAAGAAGAAAAAAAGAAAGAAAAAGAAGAUUCAGAAGCGAGAGAAAGUGAAAUCUUGGGGGGAAGCAAUGGCCUCUUGAUCUUCUUGAUUCUUCUUCUACAAUUUUUCUUACUCAAAUGGAAGAAAUGGUGUUGAAUUUGGCUUGUGACAGAAGGAUCAAUGAAUUAAAUAUAAAUAUAAAUAUUUGUUAUUUGUGUUAAUGAAUUAAAUAUAAAUAUAAAUAUUUAUUUUGUUUAUUAAAUAUAAAUAUUAAUUUUGUUUAUUAAUUAUUUCUUUUAUUUUUCUUUAAAACAAAAUAAAUAAUUAAUAAACAAAAUAAAUAUCAACAAAUAUUGCCAUGUCAGCAAAUAUUGCCACGUGGCAGCCACGUCAUAGAGGCUUUAACACCCGUUUGUCUAGUUGGCACAUCUAUUAACGGGAGGGACACGAAUGACCCAAAAAUUGUAACGUUAAGGGUAUUUUUACACAAAAAAAAGUAUAGGGUGCUCGGUAGACAUUGGAAAAAAUGUCAGGGUCAUUUUUGGACCUUAUCCCUAUAUCAUUAUCAUCAUCUUCAUGCUUAUAUUAUGUUGAAAGUCAUCUGUGGUCUGUUGUGCAUAGAUGGAUUUGGUAUGAUUAUAACCAGGGAUUAUUCGAUAUAAUCAUGACCGUAAUGUUACAAAUGAUGUGGUAAAAGUCCUCAUUGGCCCAUAGUGCAUUGAUGGACAGUUGUUGGCAUGAUCAUGACCAUUGAUGAAUACACGAAUAUCCUUGGCCUGUAGUGCAUGGAUAAUUUGUGGUUGUGAUAGUAAUGAAUAUCCUUGGCCGUAGUGCAGGGAUGAUGUGGAUUAUUUAUUAAGCUCAGUCUCAGCGAUAAAAGUGAUGAAAAACCUUUUAAAUCAUAAAAGAUAGUAGAUUUUAUUCUNNNNNNNNNNNNNNNNNNNNNNNNNNNNNNNNNNNNNNNNNNNNNNNNNNNNNNNNNNNNNNNNNNNNNNNNNNNNNNNNNNNNNNNNNNNNNNNNNNNNUGUACCAUAUAUUUGGCAACUCAAGAUGGGUGAUGUAUACCUAUUUUGGGGGCGUCACAUGCACAGUAUGAGAAAAAUAGAGCGUGUAUAAAAUGCAAAUUAUGAAAAAUGUGAAGCAUGUUAAAAUGUGAAUUAUGUGUUAUGUGAUAACUGUUAAACUUGCUGGGCAACAUGGUUGCUCAACCAUGGUAUAAAUAAUUGUUUUCAGAUAAGCCAAAGUAGACCGAAGAAUUCGGUAAAGACAAUAAAGGAUUAGUUAAAGAUUGAAGAUGGAUUGGUAUUAAUUGUAAUAUUACUAUAGAUGUAUUAUUGUACUGAGUAUUAGAUUGAUGUAUUAGUAACGGUCUUCGUACGUGGGAGUAAAAUGUAAGACUAUGUGGUAGGUUUGUAAGGAUAAUGUAUUUAUUUUACGUUAUAAUGAGAUGUCUAGAAGAUGUAUUGUAUGGGUAAUACAAUGAUGCACUGGAUCCGGGCUUAAAGACAAGACCUGAGUUUCGGGGUGUUAUAUGGUUCCUCCACCCCAAAAGGUAGGACCGAAAAUAAUAGAUUGUAUAUUCAUUGGGUAUGCUAAUAAUAUUAGUGCAUAUAGAUUUUUUGUUAAAAAAUCAAAAAUAGAGGAAAUACAUGAAAAUAUUAUUAUUGAGUCAAAAGAUGUUGAAUUCUUUAAAACAAUACUUCCUAAUAAAAAGGAACAAGAGCAAAGUUCUAAUGAACAAGAAACAUGUUCAAACAAAAGAACUUAUGACACUGUUAGUUAUAGUGAUCAUGGAUUAGAAUAUAUUAAUGAAUCUAGACAUAGUAAAUGUGCUAGAAUAUCAAAACCUUAUGGGCCGAAUUUUCUAACUUAUUAAGAAAAUGACCCUCAAACUUAUAGAGAAGGGGUAUCGAGUCCCGAAGCUCCAUAUUGGAAAGAGACUAUUGUGACAACCCUAAAUUCAGAUACAUGUACUUCGAAUCUGGUACUCUGCGAUCCCAAGUCUCGCAACCAUUACUAAUACUUUACACAACUUAACCCAUAGCAUAACUUAAUACAUAACCAUAUUUAAGUCUUAAAACAACAAAAGAAUUGAAUCCUAACAUAAAGGACCAAAGCUACUCCAUAGCCUUGUCGAUCUUUUCCCUUAUCCUUGUCUGAUGUUCCGCACUGUUCCACAUUAACUGAAAUGUUUAAGGAAAGCAAGAAUGAGAAAAAAAAUUGACUAGCAAGUAAUAUAACAAUAAACGUGAACAAGUAUACGUAAAGCUCAUAAUUUCAAAGGGUAUAACGAUAACUGAUAGCUAAGGAACUUAAAGAAAAAUGUUGUGAACAAGGAAAUCUUAAUAGUUCCAAAUCUUGUCCUUUGAAUUUGAAUAAUGAGUCAUUAUAGAUCGAAGGAUUAUUAAAAGAAUUCAAAGGUCUCAACGUUUCUAAAUGGAUUAAAUUUUAAUAUUGAGCAGUCAUGACCAAUAACUCCUGCUAAAAUUAUCAGUAUUUCACUGAUAACCCAAUUUAAACAAGUACAAUAGGUGAUCAGCUUAAAGUACCUUACGUUAUGCAUAACAUUUCAACAUGAUGUUCACACGUGAGUUGGUUUCCCAACAUAAUAUAUUUUCCCCUUCUAUGAGGGUUAUUCAUCUCAGCAAAUUUAUAAGAGUCUACACCAAAGCAAUUGGUUUUGAUAACUUUCUAACUCAUAGAUAUUGGUCUAACCGAAUCAAAUGGCUUAGACACCUUUCUCAAUACAUUUAAGAACAAUUUGUAAGUUCAAUGAUUGGAACAUGAUUUAAAGAAUAUAAUUAUGAUUUAAAUCAAUUUUCAGAGUAUGAAUAAAAAAUUUCAUGAGUUUAUAUAAUACAAGCAUUCUAUAGAACAAUUUGCUUAUACGAUCAAUAAGUGUACAAGUUCAUAUAUUUGCUCAAUAUAUGGUUGAUAUAACAACAGGAAACUUGCACAAUAUCCAAAGUUGUGUAAGUUAGGGAACUUGCCUUUCGCGUAGAUUAUUACAAUCUUAUAGCUUAACGUCACCUCAAAGUCCUAUAUCAUCAUAUUUAUGUAUAUAUAUGUAUACAUUAGUUAUACAUGAUAUAUACACCAACAUUCCUACACAUCUAUUAAACACAUGUUUAGCCAUGUACGUUAUGUAUAUACAUUCAAUCAUAUAUUCGAUACACAUUUGAACCACAUAGUUGCAUAUUCAGUUUUGUUUUUGUCUUUGAAAGUUUUAUUUAGAAAUUUUUGAAUAUACAUAUGCUUCAAGCUUUAGUCCAUAGUUAAAAGAUGUUGUCAACCUUGCAAUGUGGCGCGACCGCGCUACAUUUUGGCCUGGGAGUGGCGCGGCCGCACUGCUACCUGAUCAGUCAAGAGUUGAGUUUGAGUUUCCUAUUUUCCAGAUUACUUCCUAGCAUACAGGGAUACUGAUACAUAUCAUAUACACAUGUCAAGCAAAUCUAGGCUAGAUUUGACUCCUCUUGUGCUCACUUUAAGUUUACUUUCAACGUAUGGUUUUAUUUUGAAAUUUUCAAUCAACAAGGCUUAAGGAGUUCAUUUCACCAAGGACCAACUAUAUUAGUCCUUAAAGCAUAUAAUGUUGCUACAUAACUUUUAAUACGCAUGCUCAAAUGUAUUCAAGUCAUUUAUUUAUAGUUAACAUGACUUUACAUUUGAAAACCUACUUUAAACCAUGCUUAAAACAACUUAUAUUAUGCCUAACUAGAUGGAUCAACAUAUCAGUCACAUUUAAAAGCAUAAAGAGUCUUAUUAUGCCUGCUUAAAAGGUCAGAAUGCAAUAUCACUAUGCUCAUUAAUGUUUGUUUUCAAAACUUCUAAGUUUUCUUUGAAAAAUUUAUAUUAAACCAAGCCAAGGUAACUUAUUAUAUACAAAGCAACUUGAAUACCAUGUCAGACCUAUUUUCAUACCUAACCAAGUCAAACAUACAUGCCUAGAACAUCAGAAUGCAAAUAAAAAUCAAUUUCAAGCAAUGAGAACCAGCGUGGCUGCGUUGAUUUUCACUGGGGAACUGGCAUAACCGCGCCACUUCGGGACAGACUCAGGAUGUGAUCCAUUUUUGCAGAACUCAAAAUUCCACUACCACCAAACAUUCAUAAAAUGACCAAAUACCUUGAUUUAAAAUAUCCAUACAUCUCAGAUAUCAAAGAAAAUACAAUUCCCAAACUAACUACCAAAUAAUUUUAUACCAAUUUUGAACAUAUCUAAUUCAUAGCCAUUAUAAAAAUAUGCAUUCUUACCUCAUGAUCAUAUAAAUUAACAUAUUUUUUUUAUUCUAUAACUGAUUCAAAUUUAAAGAAACAUAGAUUCAAAUUUAUUCUAGUGAGGUUUUUUUUAUCUCAGAAUACUUCUACUUGUCUUAUUACCUUAUGGAAAUGCAAGAGCUCUCUAAAUACGCCUUUAUCUCUCAACCUCACUGAUUCUCUCUAUAUUGGACUUAAUCAGAAAACUAACAGCUUGAUUUAUGAAGGGGAAGCUCUUAUUUAUAGGAGGACUCUUACCCAAAUGCUGGAUUUUACAUAAGAAUUGAACCAACGUGAAUUAGAAGAAGCUAUUGGUUAAGGAUGAUUUGGUAGAAAGCUUACAACUACUCAUUUCCAACCAUUCCUACUGACAUCAUUUGCUUGGCAAAGUAGGGGGAUAGGCCAAUGACCUAAAGCGACUGAUAACAAGCUAACGGGACUAAACAUAUAUUAACCCUCCAUAUUAGUAAACUUAUUAGACUAUCCAAACCUGAUGGGUUUAAUUGAUUUACAAUAUUGGGCUAUUAUCAUUCUCCAAUUAUUUAGUUUAGGAUAUAAAUUAGUUGGGCUCUAACAUCCUAAUAUGUAAAAAUGAAGAUAUAUAAAAUUUUCUUUUCCUUUUUUUGGGCUUUAAUUAAGGGUGUCACUAUAUUAUUUCCCCAAUAUAUUUAUUCAUCUAAUUCUUUAAUUAUUAUUUUUAAUUAUACUUAAAUUAAACAUUCAUUUUUAAAUUAAUUCCUUCUAUAAUUAAUAUCAAACAUUUAUUUUUUUAAAAUUAAUUACCUUUUAAUUAAUUUACCUCAAGUAGCUAAUCAAUUCAUCUUAUUCCUUAUACCACAUAAGGCAUAUCUCAUAAGCUUAUAUAAGCUCAUAACCAUCCCUACUAAAUUCCUUGAUUAAUUUAAUUAAGUUCUUAAUUAUGUCACACAAAGCUCAUUUCUUUCAAGCUUAGCUAAUUACGUACUCAAGCUUAUUUUUUCAACAUAUAGUCUUACUAAGUAAUUAUUCUCAUACCAUAAUUUUACUCUUAAUAUCACAUCUUAUAUUUUAUGCAUGAUGAAAUUUUAUUAACUAUUUAUAUGAUCACACAACACACAUAAUUGCACAUAACAAAUAAAUAAUUAAAAAUGAUAACAGAAACAAUAAUUCUUCAUUUAAUAAUAAAAAUCUUUUAAAUUUUUCGAGUAUUACAGCUAUAAAUAAUGAAGUAGAAUCCAUUCUGCACAACCAUACGUGGGAAUUAGUAGAUCUCCCACAUGGUUCUAAACCUCUUGGAUACAAGUGGAUUUUCAAGAAAAAAAUAAAAGCAGAUGGAUCUAUAGAUAAAUAUAAAGCAAGACUUGUAAUUAAAGGAUACAAACAAAAGGAGGGAUUAGAUUAUUUUAAUACUUAUUCUCCUGUGAAGAUAAUAUCCUCAAUUAGGAUGUUAAUAGCUAUUGCAGCUAUAUAUGAUUUAGAGAUACAUCAAAUGGAUGUGAAAUCAACUUUCUUAAAUGGAGAUUUAAAAGAAUAAAUCUACAUGGAAUUACCAGAAGGGUUUAUUGUUUCAGGACAAGAAAAGAAAGUUUUUCUGUGACAUCCCGAAUUUUAUGAAAUAAAAGUAUUCAAUUUUCUUAAAAUUAUUCUAUUUAGUAAAUGGUUAAAUUGAUAAAAGGUUAAAGUUAAGGGUGAUAUUUGAAAUUUUUUUCAAAGUAAGCAAGUUGUCAUAAAAUAAUCAGUGAUAAAAGUACAGUAAUACGCGUGGUUGCAUAGUAGCACACGGUAUUGAUUAUUGAUGCUUACGUGAGAAGUCACUCGGUUUUAUUCAAUUAUUGUCACAAUAUUUUAUAUUAUUAAAUCAAUAAUUGAGACGACAAAAUUAUUCAUAUUAUUAUUUGUAAUAUUGACAAUGUCUAGAAGUUCUGUCAAGGAGAUGUUUGGUCACCUAAUUGCGCGCAAAUAAGGAGAAAUCCUUAUCGGAAAGCCCCCUCUUUCCUGGGAACGAUCUGGUUGUUAAUAUUGCGAGUUAUAAUAAUAAUGAAUAAAUGUUAUUAAAAAUCGAAUUUGAGUUCGGAGUUGAAUUUGGAGACGCGGACGUGAUAUUUGAGUCCGAAAUGAUGAAAUUAGUAAAAAUAAACUAUAAACACAAAAUUUGUCGGGGUUAACUUUUUGGUUAAAAAGUCAACAAUUGACUUCUUGGUUAAAAAGUCAACAAUUGACUUUUUUAGAAAAAGUCAACUUCAAAAUUUCAAAAAUAUUUCUAUUGUGUUGGGAUUAUUAGUGUUAGUAGAAAUCGACAGUUAUUUCGAUAAUAAUUAAUGUCUGGAGGUUAUAUUGACCAAUCGGGUAAUUAAUCGGAUAAAUAAGCAAUUAAUUGCUAUUAAUUCACAUGCUUAUAACUAUGUAUUCACAUGUGUGUACUAUUGAUUCACAUGAUUUACUACUAGGGGAGUUGGUGCAAGAUUGAUAAUAUUUGUAUGACUAAAUUAAAAAUGGAGGUAUAGAUGAAGGUACUAUACUAUAAUUAAUUUUUUAAAUGUUUAGAACUAUUGAGUCACAUGAUUUACUAUUGAUUCACAUGAUUUACUAUUAGGGGAGGUGGUGAAAGUUUGAUAAUACUUGCAGGACUAAAUUAAAAAUGAAGGAAAAGAGGAAGGUAUUAAACUAUAAUAUUUCGAGCCCCAAAACGUGUAAUUAUCGAAACUAUAUUUUUCUAUAAAUAGAAGCUCAUUCCUUCAUUAUUUUUCACCAAUUCACUAAAGCUAUAGAACAAUUAUUAUAGAGAGAAAUUAUAGAGAGAAAGAAGAAGAGAAGUCUGCUACCUCACUAUUCCAGUAUCCAGUUUUCUUCUGAGGUAAGGGGUAUUAUUUCUUUCGUAUUCAUGAAGAGAGCUAUUGUUAUUCCAUUCCUUAUUAUUAUGUUGGAAUAACCUGUCUAUGCGAAGUACUGCAUACAUGGUGAAGUUCUUCUGUUAUUCCAUUCUUUAUUAUUAUGUUGGAAUAACCUGUCUAUGCGAAGUACCACAUACAUGGUGAAAUUCUUCUGUUAUCCAUUCUUUAUUAUUCCGUUGGAAUAUCAUGUCUGUGCGGAUUACGCAUGACCUGGUUCCAUUCUUUAUUAUUCUGUUGGAAUAUCCUGUCUGUGCGUAUUACGCAUGACCUGGUUCCAUUAUUUAUUAUUCUGUUGGAAUAACAUGUUUGUACGGUCUAUCGCAUGCCUGGUGAAUUCUUUUGUUAUUCCAUUCUUUAUUAUUCUGUUGGAAUAACCUAUGUAUGUGGAUUACCACAUGCAUGGUGAAUGAUCCUUCGUUUUCAUUCUUUAUUAAAUGGGUUAAGUUCAGAUGACCACCUGGGGUUUGGGCGAUUUUCCACUUAACCACCUGUAGUCAGUAAAGCUACAUUUAAACUCCUGACUUUUUGAGUUGAAGUGAAAGCGUUACCUUUUCCAUCCAACUUAAUUGUGCGUGUAUGUCAGAUGCCAAAAAUGCGUGAGAAGAGGCUGUAACAGUCAAAAAGGACUGAUAAAUGUCUGAAAUACCCCUUCUUCUUCCUAUUUAGCAUUCCUCUCCUCUCCGAUCAAACUUCAGUCUCCUCUCCGAUGCUGCUAGGGAGUAUGAUGGUCUGCUUGCAGCUUCCGCUUAUCAUCCCCAGUCCCAAUUUCUAGGGUUCUUCCCCAAUUUCAAAUCCACGGGUUGAUAAAUUGGGAGACCCAAUUCGUGAUAUACGGAGGCCAUACACUUGGGUCUCCCAAUUUCUCUUCUUCAUCAUUCAUGAAACCCAAAUUGCUUCAUCGCAUCAUCAUCCCUUCUUUUUCUUCUCAAUCUAUCCGCAAAUCGUAGUAGGAUUCCCAAUUUUCUAGGGUUCUUCCCCAAUUUUAAAUCCACCCAAAGAAACUGUGCACGAAAAUCAGAGGAUAAGCUGUUCACCCAAUUACUUAUCUUCUUUCUUUUCGAUCCGUUUUAUAUCUUUGUUGCUUCUCAUAAUUUUCCCUUAUUAUUGGUAAGAAAUUCUUUAUUUUUUGGGAGCUUUUUUCUGAGAUUUUCCUAUUUUUUCCCAUUUCUUUUUACCUAAUUUAAUAAACUGCAUGAAAGCUUGCUGGAAUUUAGUCUCGAUGCAGCCUGUUGUGUUGGAUUGAACUUCUGAAGAAGUCUAAAGUAAGGAAUCCUUAUUAUGAUUAGAGAUAAGACCUCUGAAGAAAUGGAGGAAAAUUAACAGCCCCCCUCUUCUUUUUCUUUUCAAUUUUUAUCCCUAUAUUACUUCCUGCUAAAUCAAUCCAAACCAUUAUCGCCACACUACUAGAAUACACACAACAUAAUAAGUAUAAUUUUUUUAACCAGAUGAACAAUCUUACAUCACACUAGUUCAAGUCCUCUGGUAACUUGAAAUUCCGUGGAGCUUUGAAUGGUUUUACUAGUCCAUUCCUCAUAAAGUCGUCCUCAAUUUUUCAGAAAUGGGAGUUCAGAGGUGGUUUGUUGCGGGGUGAGGCUAAUCGGGUCGAGGUUAUUCGGAGAAAUCUAGGUGAAGUUAGUUUGAAUUUGUUGAAUUUAACUGAUUUUGGGGCUAAAGAGUCCACUGGUUGUACUGGAUUGAAUGAGCAUAAAGGCUACACAAGCCAGUGUGAGUUUUUGACAGCUAAUCCACAAUGCACAUCAGGGGGGCUUCUUGAUUACAUUCGCUUCUUCUCUUGUGGGUGUGAGAAGGUUAAAUUUCUGGGUUAUUUGGCUUUGGGAAUUUGGUUGGUUGCUCUAUUUUAUUUACUGGGUAAUACGACUACAGACUAUUUUUGUUGUUCUCUUGAGAAGCUCUUAAAUCUCUUGAACUUGCCACCCACUGUUGCAGGGGUGACUCUGCUUCCUCUGGGUAACGGGGAGCCCGAUGUGUUUGCGAGCAUUGCUUCUUUUAUGGGAAGUAAUGAUGGAGAUGUUGGACUUAAUAGUGUGUUGGGUGGAGCUGUAUUUGUGACUUGUGUUGUGGUUGCAACUAUUUCCCUUUCCGUGGGGGAGCAACGAGUUCAGAUUGAUAAGAGAUGUUUUAUAAGAGAUGUAUAUUUCUUUCUAUUUGCUUUUCUUUCCCUUCUUGUUAUUUUGAUUAUUGGAAAGUUGAAAGUAGGAGGUGCAAUCGUGUUUCUUUUUAUUUAUGUUGUUUAUGCAUUCUCUAUAGUUGUACAUGAGAUUUUGAGAAAAGAUUCGUCAAGGUUGAAGCUAGAUUACUCACAUGUUCUCUCAUCUGUCGUUUAUAUAUAAGGAGGGUAAUUAAGUUUUUAUCCAACUUAAGUAACAGAGUUAUGACAGAAGGCAAUUAUUCACUUUAACUCAAAAAGUCGGGAGUUUAAAUGUAGCUUUACUGACUACAGGUGGUUAAGUGGGAAACCGUCCAAACCCCAGGUGGUCAUUUGAACUUAACCCUUAUUAAAUUGUGGAAAUGAUCUGUCUACGUGGAUUACCGCAUGUCGGAUGAAAAUCCAUUUGCAGUUUCGUAUAUUCUAUUAUGCUCGUAUGAGAUAUCAUUUCUUUUGUAAUCGUCAUGGAAUAUCAUUUUCUUUGGUAUUUUUCUUUUACGAGUUACUAUUCACGGGUUACUAUUCACUCGGGUAUUCGGGGCACUUUUCGUGUCGGAGUACUAUUCACGAGUUACUAUUCACGGGUUACUAUUCACCCAAUUACUAUUCACUCUAGUAUUAUUCACUCGGGUAUUUGAGACACUUUUCAUGCCGGGGUACUAUUCACGAGGUACUAUUCCCGAAGUACUAUUCACGGGAUACUAUUCACCUAAAAAAUAUAUUUCUUUUAUGUCCAAAUUAUUUUUGGUACAUGAAUAUUAUUCUUGAAUUUUACUCCACAAAGUAGUGUCAUGUUGACAAUUUGGAUAUUUUUAAACUCUGGAUAAAUUAAAAGUCUUUAAUAUUUAUCCUUGACAUCGUUUGAUUAAUGCUUAUAUCAUUGUCAUCAUCCUCAUGCUUAUAUUGUGAUGAAAGUUAGCUUUGGCUUACGUGCAUAGAUGGACUGUUGAUUAUUGGUUUUACAGUUGUAUAUUUUUGGCUUACGUGCAAAGAUGGACUGUUGAUUAUUGGUUUUAUAGUUGUAUAUCUUUGGCUUACGUGCACAGAUGGACUGGUGUAUGACAUGAUCAUAACCACUGGUGAUAAUAACGAAUAUCCUUGGCCCGUAGUGCAUGGAUAAUUCAAUGAUGUGAUUGGCAGGAUCAUGACCAUUAGUUAACAGUUGAAUGUCUUUGGCCGUAGUGCACUGACAGAAAAUUGAUUGGUAUGAUCAUGACCAUUGGUUUUAUAGUUGAAUAUCUUUGGCCCGUAGUGCAAAGGUAGCCAACUGAUUGGUAUGAUCAUUGUUAUUACAUUUGAAUAUCUUUAGCCUUUGGGGUAAGGAUAUUGAGUAAACGUUCUAUUAAGCCGUUGUGGCAAUGAGAAACUAUUGAUUUACAUAAUUAUAAAUAGGAAUUGUGGAUUUAACUAUAAUCUUUGGUGGUUAAGGUGAAGACAGGUGAUGAUAGUUCUUUUUGUCUUGGGUAUAACAAAGAACUGUUGAUGGGCAUUACAACGAUAAAGUUGAUGAAAAACUUUUUAAAUCAUAGAAGAUAGUAGAUUUUAUGCUCUACUUGACUCUUCUAAUGGAUUGCUUAUUCCGAUGCAGUUGUUGAUCUAAAAUUGUUGUCUAUUGUAUUCUAUCAGUUGUUAUACUGUUGAAGGCUAAGGAUAAUUUAUUCUGCAUUAUCUUAGUCAUAAUAUUUCUUACUGGGCUAGUUGAGCUCACCCUUUCUUUCACUGUUCUUUUCAGGAAAUGAGAAUAUAGCUGGGACGAGUCGGGGAAUGGAUUGACGGUCCAGAUGGUUGUUUUAGUAGUCCUCACUAUUCUGUGAAAUAGUGUGAUAAUAAUUGUAAUGAGGACUCCAUUGAGAGUGGAUAUUGUCUAGAAGACAAUAUUCUUGUUUAAACCCUCAACUAUGUUUUGUCGUAUAUUUUACACGACAGUUGUAUAAUUAAGUUGUAUUUGAAUUUAUGUACCAUGUAUUUGGCGACUCAAGAUGGGUGAUGUAUACCUGUUUUGGGGGCGUCACAUUUUCAGCUUGUGAAGUCCCUUUAUGGAUUAAAACAAGCACCCAAACAAUGACAUGAAAAAUUUGACAGUGCAAUAUUGUCAAAUGGUUUCAAGAU
rnacentral:lncRNA from 1 species